AAGUUGACCGCCUGGGGAGUACGGCCGCAAGGUUAAAACUCAAAGGAAUUGACGGGGACCCGCACAAGCGGUGGAUGAUGUGGAUUAAUUCGAUGCAACGCGAAAAACCUUACCUACGCUUGACAUGCCAGGAACUUUCCAGAGAUGGAUUGGUGCCCGAAAGGGAACCUGGACACAGGUGCUGCAUGGCUGUCGUCAGCUCGUGUCGUGAGAUGUUGGGUUAAGUCCCGCAACGAGCGCAACCCUUGCCAUUAGUUGCUACGAAAGGGCACUCUAAUGGGACUGCCGGUGACAAACCGGAGGAAGGUGGGGAUGACGUCAGGUCAUCAUGGCCCUUAUGGGUAGGGCUACACACGUCAUACAAUGGCCGGCACAGAGGGUCGCAAACCCGCGAGGGGGAGCCAAUCUCAGAAAACCGGUCGUAGUCCGGAUCGCAGUCUGCAACUCGACUGCGUGAAGUCGGAAUCGCUAGUAAUCGCGGAUCAGCAUGUCGCGGUGAAUACGUUCCCGGGUCUUGUACACACCGCCCGUCACACCAUGGGAGCGGGUUCUGCCAGAAGUAGUUAGCCUAACCGAAAGGGGGGCGAUUACCACGGCGGGGUUCGUGACUGGGGUGAAGUCGUAACAAGGUAACCAAGGGNGAAUUCUG
rnacentral:rRNA from 1 species